rnacentral:rRNA from 1 species
AAGACCUUGCGCUUUUGGAGCGGCCGAUGUCUGAUUAGCUUGUUGGUAAGGUAAAAGCUUACCAAGGCUUCGAUCAGUAGCUGGACUGAGAGGACGGCCAGCCACACUGGGACUGAGACACGGCCCAGACUCCUACGGGAGGCAGCAGUGGGGAAUUUUGGACAAUGGGGGCAACCCUGAUCCAGCCAUGCCGCGUGAGUGAAGAAGGCCUUCGGGUUGUAAAGCUCUUUCAGCCGGAACGAAACGGUUACGGUUAAUACCCGUGACUACUGACGGUACCGGAAGAAGAAGCACCGGCUAACUACGUGCCGGCGGCCGCGGUAAUACGUAGGGUGCAAGCGUUAAUCGGAAUUACUGGGCGUAAAGCGUGCGCAGGUGGUUUUGUAAGUCAGGUGUGAAAUCCCCGGGCUUAACCUGGGAACU